rnacentral:rRNA from 1 species
AACGAACGCUGGCGGCAGGCUUAACACAUGCAAGUCGAGCGCCCCGCAAGGGGAGCGGCGGGCGGGUGAGUAACGCGUGGGAAUCUACCCAUCUCUACGGAAUAACGCAUGGAAACGUGUGCUAAUACCGUAUACGUCCUUCGGGAGAAAGAUUUAUCGGAGAUGGAUGAGCCCGCGUUGGAUUAGCUAGUUGGUGGGGUAAAGGCCUACCAAGGCGACGAUGCAUAGCUGGUCUGAGAGGAUGAUCAGCCACACUGGGACUGAGACACGGCCCAGACUCCUACGGGAGGCAGCAGUGGGGAAUAUUGGACAAUGGGCGCAAGCCUGAUCCAGCCAUGCCGCGUGAGUGAUGAAGGCCCUAGGGUUGUAAAGCUCUUUCACCGGUGAAGAUAAUGACGGUAACCGGAGAAGAAGCCCCGGCUAACUUCGUGCCAGCCGCCGCGGUAAGAC